rnacentral:rRNA from 1 species
GACGAACGCUGGCGGCGUGCUUAACACAUGCAAGUCGAACGGAAAGGCCCUGCUUUUGUGGGGUGCUCGAGUGGCGAACGGGUGAGUAACACGUGAGUAACCUGCCCUUGACUUUGGGAUAACUUCAGGAAACUGGGGCUAAUACCGGAUAGGAGCUCCUGCUGCAUGGUGGGGGUUGGAAAGUUUCGGCGGUUGGGGAUGGACUCGCGGCUUAUCAGCUUGUUGGUGGGGUAGUGGCUUACCAAGGCUUUGACGGGUAGCCGGCCUGAGAGGGUGACCGGCCACAUGGGGACUGAGGUACGGCCCAGAGUCCUACAGGAGGCAGCAGUGGGGAAUAUUGCACAAUGGGCGGGAGCCUGAUGCAGCAACGCCGCGUGCGGGAUGACGGCCUUUGGGUUGUAAACCGCUUUCGCCUGUGACGAAGCGUGAGUGACGGUAAUGGGUAAAGAAGCACCGGCUAACUACGUG